rnacentral:rRNA from 1 species
GAUGAACGCUGGCGGCGUGCUUAACACAUGCAAGUCGAACGGUGAACGAGGGAGCUUGCUCCCUCCGGAUCAGUGGCGAACGGGUGAGUAACACGUGAGCAAUCUGCCCUGGACUCUGGGAUAAGCGUUGGAAACGACGUCUAAUACCGGAUACGAGGCGUGGGGGCAUCCCCAACGCCUGGAAAGAACUUCGGUCCAGGAUGAGCUCGCGGCCUAUCAGCUUGUUGGUGAGGUAACGGCUCACCAAGGCGACGACGGGUAGCCGGCCUGAGAGGGUGACCGGCCACACUGGGACUGAGACACGGCCCAGACUCCUACGGGAGGCAGCAGUGGGGAAUAUUGCACAAUGGGCGCAAGCCUGAUGCAGCAACGCCGCGUGAGGGACGACGGCCUUCGGGUUGUAAACCUCUUUUAGCAGGGAAGAAGCGCAAGUGACGGUACCUGCAGAAAAAGCACCGGCUAACUACGUGCCAGCAGCCGCGGUAACAC